GAGGUGUGAGGACUGCAAGAAUUUCACUUAAUGUAGGCUCACAGACAUUAUAGAGUUUGGACACAAAUCUGGGGCUUUAAUCUAAGCAGAGUGAAGCAAAACCUGCCCCACUGAAGGAAGAUUUAAAUCAAUUUUAUAUCAAGUCUAUGGGACAAAAAAAGCAGCUCCUGCUCCCAGCAAAAGGAAUUUCCUGAGCAGCCUGAAGUAAAUAUUUGGCAGUUCCAGUUCUGAGUUUUAGAGAACUGUUAAUCUGCCAAAUCUGAAGAUACAAAACGACCAUUGAGACGACUACUCUGUCACACCCGCGAGGACUUCUGCACACAUUUUGCAAAAAAUAAAACUGUGCGGCAAAACACUCGCCUGGAUGG